rnacentral:rRNA from 1 species
UACGUAGGGCGCAAGCGUUGUCCGGAAUUAUUGGGCGUAAAGAGCUCGUAGGCGGUUUGUCGCGUCUGCCGUGAAAAGUCCGGGGCUCAACUCCGGAUCUGCGGUGGGUACGGGCAGACUAGAGUGAUGUAGGGGGAGACUGGAAUUCCUGGUGUAGCGGUGAAAUGCGCAGAUAUCAGGAGGAACACCGGUGGCGAAGGCGGGGUCUCUGGGGCCGAUACUGACGCUGAGGAGCGAAAGCGUGGGGAGCGAACAGG